rnacentral:sRNA from 1 species
GUCUAGCCCUGAUGGAAGCGGCAUCCUUUUUCUUGUCAUCCUGACGGAGGAAGGAUCUCAAGAAAAAGAUAUAGCGGACAGCAGGAAAUAGC